rnacentral:rRNA from 1 species
GACGAACGCUGGCGGCGUGCUUAACACAUGCAAGUCGAACGGAAAGGCCCUGCUUUUGUGGGGUGCUCGAGUGGCGAACGGGUGAGUAACACGUGAGUAACCUGCCCUUGACUUUGGGAUAACUUCAGGAAACUGGGGCUAAUCCCGGAUAGGAGCUCCUGCUGCAUGGUGGGGGUUGGAAAGUUUCGGCGGUUGGGGAUGGACUCGCGGCUUAUCAGCUUGUUGGUGGGGUAGUGGCUUACCAAGGCUUUGACGGGUAGCCGGCCUGAGAGGGUGACCGGCGACAUUGGGACUGAGAUACGGACCAGACUCGUACGGGAGGCAGCAGUGGGGAAUAUUGCACAAUGGGCGGAAGUCUGAUGCAGCAACGCCGCGUGCGGGAUGACGGCCUUCGGGUUGUAAACCGCUUUCGCCUGUGACGAAGCGGGAGUGACGGUAAUGAGUAAAGAAGCACCGGCUAACUACGUG